rnacentral:rRNA from 1 species
GACGAACCGUGCGAACGUUGUUCGGAAUCACUGGGCUUAAAGGGCGCGUAGGCGGACUUGCAAGUCUGCGGUGAAAGCCUCCAGCUCAACUGGAGAAGUGCCGUGGAUACUGCGGGUCUGGAGGAGGGUAGGGGCAUCUGGAACGUUGGGUGGAGCGGUGAAAUGCGUUGAUAUCCAACGGAACUCCGGUGGCGAAGGCGAGGUGCUGGACCCUUUCUGACGCUGAGGCGCGAAAGCCAGGGGAGCGAACGGG